rnacentral:rRNA from 1 species
AACGAACGCUGGCGGCAGGCUUAACACAUGCAAGUCGAACGCACCUUUCGGGGUGAGUGGCAGACGGGUGAGUAACGCGUGGGAAUCUACCCUUCUCUACGGGAUAGCUCCGGGAAACUGGAAUUAAUACCGUAUACGUCCUGAGGGAGAAAGAUUUAUCGGGGAAGGAUGAGCCCGCGUUGGAUUAGCUAGUUGGUGGGGUAAAGGCCUACCAAGGCGACGAUCCAUAGCUGGUCUAAGAGGAUGAUCAGCCACAUUGGGACUGAGACACGGCCCAAACUCCUACGGGAGGCAGCAGUGGGGAAUAUUGGACAAUGGGCGCAAGCCUGAUCCAGCCAUGCCGCGUGAGUGAUGAAGGCCCUAGGGUUGUAAAGCUCUUUCAGUGGGGACGAUAAUGACGGUACCCACAGAAGAAGCCCCGGCUAACUUCGGG